CAUUUUUUUCCAGGAAACUGACUGUGGAUUUUGACGUGCGGCUGCUUGCUUUGUCUUGAUGCAGUUCUACUAAUUGAUGGCACUGUGGAUUUGUGCCAUAUGGGGAGAAAACGCACACCAAGAAACGUGACUGCAAUAUGGAUUAUGCAUUCAACAUCUUCUCGAGCAUGACUGAAGAACAACUGAUGACUUUACUUCAGCAAGAAUAGUAUGAAGCAGAUUCCUCCCGCAAGUUUACAAGCGAAUAAACGUUUUGAACUGUUUACGACUGCAGUCCGCACUAGCUGUGAAAUAAAAAGGAACACUGUUUAUUGAAAAUUCGCCAACCUUAUUAAAAUAUUAUUAUAAUUGAAUUAAUACAAUGUAAAUAUAUUUUCAUGAUGUAGAAACAGUUGCAUCAGUAAUUAAAAUAAGAUUUAUGUUGAAUAAUGGCAUAAAAUAUUUUAGCAUAAUAAACUUUUAAACUCUUCCCCCUGACCCAGAAGUUGUAUUGUUUUGAAAGGAAAGGUAAUUUUUUACUUAGAAAGAAUAUUUUCCGAAUAUAAUAAUUUGGAAUUCUGAAAGAGGAGUUAAUAGCAAUCUUAAAUUCAUAACAAGCGAUAAGAAUUUUUUUUUAGAUGUUUUGAUAAAAUCCAUAGCAAAAUGCAUAUAUCAAACACUUCCGCAAGCAUUCUUUGUUUUUGCUAUUUUAAUAUGUUUGUGUUUUAAAUUUAUACAAUUCCAUUUUUAAAGAACAUCUGGAAUUUCAAAACUAACACCAGAUUAAUAGCGAUUUUCCAAAUGUAGUCAUAAUUAUUUUUGAAAUUUUCAUUCAAAAGUUAUAAUUAUAUGUCAUAAAGUAUUAAAACAAUGUGUUUUGAGUAGAUCUCAACUAAAAUAAGGCAAAUGUGCUGUUUAGAAAUUUAGCAGUGUUUAUAUAUGAUUGUGCUUCAUAUUUUUUUAUAUUAUCAUGCAUUGCAAUGAAAUUACAUGAAAUUUAACCAGAGAUUAUGGUUUAUAAAUAAAAUAAUAGCAGUAUUCUUUAGCUUUUGGUUAAACAAAUACAAACUUAUUUAUUAUUAGAAUAUGGCCGUGGAAAUAAUUAAUUCUACUAAAUAAUUGUUCAGAACAAAUUAUCUGCUUUUAGCAUAAUUUAUAAACCCCAAAUCUUUUUAUGCAUAGUUAUUAAAUCUCACAAGAGGAGAAAAACCAAACAAGAGAAAUGCAUCAACCUCUUUUUUUUUUUUUUUUUUUUUUUUUUUUUUUUUUUUUACAAUUAGCGGGGAAAAUAUUCAUGUAGACAACAAUAAAUAACUAAAUAAUUACGCGAUUUGUUACUCUUUAAUAGUGUAAAAAGGCUGUGCUAUAACAGAUUUCGAACAAUUUCUCCACUGCGCGGUUUACAUCUGUAGUAAAAUUUUACAAGACUGUCAUUCGUACAAUGUAAAUAGUUGUUUUUGAAUGGUUGGCCCGGAGAGCACAGGGUAUUGUAAUGUAAUAAUUUAAUGAUGUGAAUAUGUGUACUGCCGGAACUGCUGUGUUAUGCAAUAAAUAAUUCCUCAAAUACA
rnacentral:lncRNA from 1 species